rnacentral:rRNA from 1 species
UUCGGAUUGUAAACCACUGUCGGGAGGGACGAAUACAGGGCCUCAAAUAGGGGACCCUGGGUGACGGUACCUCCAAAGGAAGCACCGGCUAACUCCGUGCCAGCAGCCGCGGUAAUACGGAGGGUGCGAGCGUUGUCCGGAAUUACUGGGCGUAAAGGGCGCGUAGGCGGUUCGUUAAGUUGCUGGUGAAAUCCCGGGGCUCAACUCCGGGGCUGCCGGCAAGACUGGCGGGCUAGAGCACGGUAGAGGCAGAUGGAAUUCCCGGUGUAGCGGUGGAAUGCGUAGAUAUCGGGAAGAAUACCGGUGGCGAAGGCGUUCUGCUGGGCCGUUGCUGACGCUGAGGCGCGACAGCGUGGGGAGCAAACAGGAUUAGAUACCCUGGUAGUCCACGCCGUAAACGAUGGACACUAGGCGUCGGGGGGAGCGACCCUCCCGGUGCCGUCGCUAACGCAGUAAGUGUCCCGCCUGGGGAGUACGGCCGCAAGGCUGAAACUCAAAGGAAUUGACGGA